rnacentral:rRNA from 1 species
CGAAAGCCUGAUCCAGCAAUACCGCGUGCAGGAAGAAGGCCUUCGGGUUGUAAACUGCUUUUGUACGGAACGAAACGGUCUAGAUUAAUACUCUGGGCUAAUGACGGUACCGUAAGAAUAAGCACCGGCUAACUACGUGCCAGCAGCCGCGGUAAUACGUAGGGUGCAAGCGUUAAUCGGAAUUACUGGGCGUAAAGCGUGCGCAGGCGGUUUUGUAAGACAGGCGUGAAAUCCCCGGGCUCAACCUGGGAAUUGCGCUUGUGACUGCAAGGCUAGAGUACGGUAGAGGGGGGUAGAAUUCCG